UUUGAUCGUAGUAUUUUGUCGUGAGAAUCAAACUUUGGCAUACAGUGAUCAUUCGCAGCUUGUCUCAUUGUCAGUUAAAUUCAAAUCUGAUUUUAUUACAAGUGUUUAAGAUGGCAGUGAAACUUAUCGGCGUAUUUUUGACGUUAUCGUGCAUUUUCUUAUGCGCAUUGGGUGAACUAAAAAUAACUGAAGCGCAAUUCGCUCAAUUCAAAGGGACAGAUCCCACGAAAUACUGCGGAUGCAAAAAAAGUUUGGAAAAAUUCUGUAAUGAGAUCAUCAAGUUAGGAGUCGACAAACCUCCAAAAGGACCCUUCAAAAAAGAUUUACCAGAUUGCCAACUCACAACACUUAAAGUGGAAAAAAACUGCGGUGGAAGUACAACGAUAGGAGCCAAUUUAAUCACUUGCGCAUGGGAAAACUUCAACGGGUAUUACAUUUAUGGUAAAGGGCAGACGGAAAAUAAUGUGAUGAAUUAUGGAGUUGACGAUAAAGCCGUUUGCUAUUUUUGGAAGCAGUUUCCAUACGCUGGCAAUUAACAGAGAAAGGAAAAGUGAAAACUGGGAAGAGAAAAUUACUCGAAAAUUUCUCGACUGUGCAUUUUUUUUCUCAUAUUAUGUUGUACCUACGUAUAUUGAUAUUAAAUCUGCAUAAUUAUUAA